GUUUGACCAGGUUCUGAAGCUGGGGUCUGGCUGAUUGUGAUACAAUGGAGAAGUGAAUGGAGUGGUGGUCUUACCAAACAACUGGAUUUACAGUUACUGGUGACACUUCUAGCCCAGACUGGAACACUAGAUCAAAGUGUAUGACCUUUUCUGUGGGUGGCGUUGAAGGGAUACGGUGUCAUCAGUCCAAGUGUUGAAAUCUCCCAAUAUAAGCCAUC